ensembl:lncRNA novel transcript
AGAUCAGCUGACAUCAAUAAUCCUAGGUCUGAGCUCGCUGAAGUGCUGCAGCUCUUCUCUCUCUUCUCUCCUUUUCGUCACCCACAGCCUGGCUAACAAGGAGCAUGUUUCAGCCGUGUUUGUGUUACUGAUCUUUCAGUCCCACCAUUCGGCAGGUCCAGGAAGAAUGAGUGUUUUUUAGUUCUCCUUGCAAAGAUCUUCAGAUAUAUUCCUAGGUACUUCACUGUUUUUUUGGCUAUGAGUCCAAAGAAUUGCAUGAACUAGAUUCUGCUGAUGUUUGCAAGAUUGAAGUUCUCUAAUCCUACAAACAAAUAGUCAUUCACUGUGAAAGACUCACUAUGGGGAGGUUAUGAGGUGACAUGAAGAUAUUGUAGCCCUUAGACCAAUUAUGAAAUGUUAAAUAAACACACUUCUUGUAUUAUCCUCCAUGACAGAAGAUCCAAUCCAUCCUUCUAGAUGUGUGAUCUCUUGGGGUGGGACAGGAAUCUGGCAUGAUCAACAAAAUACUGCUCUAAACAUUUUCAUGUUAUUGUUUCUGCCUUGUCUUUGGGGCAACCUCCAAUGGCUAGGUUACAAGUUUACUCUAUUACUUCUUAUCAUAACAGCAGGACACUUGCAUAGUGCAAAGUAAAGACACAUACAUAGCUGAAGGCUUGGGCUUUAAACAUGUAAUCAAGUAAAUUGUUGGUGCUCACAAACAAUUUAUUUGGCUUUCAUGACAAUUAAUGUAAAUGUAAAAUCAAUCAUAACAAUCUUAUUUAAAUAAAAUGUGUAUAUUCCAAUAUCAGAACUUCACAUGGAAAAAUCAUGAGGGUCACAAGAGUAUAAUUUUUGUACUGAUUUUAUGACCAAUGCCUAAUUUGAAUAAUAAAUUAUUCAUCUGUAUGUGUGUGUUUAUUGAACUAAGUUUUUAUUUGUCUUACACCAUUGGAACAUGAAAGCUGUAAAAAUAGCAGAAAUAAAAUAUCACUUUUUCCUUGCACAACUUAAUUAUUAAAUAGAAUAUAUGGGAAGCAGAUGUAUUGCAAUAUCUCCUCAUAAAUAUUGUUCUCUUUUACUCAGCCUCAGUGUCUGAUAUGAGAAGUAAUUGGUGUAUUAAGUCAUGGGAAUCUCAAUUCACAUACAUUACGUUAAUUUCUACUGAACUUAUGUCAUGCUUUAGAUCACUUAUUUAUUGUGGUUCUGAUAAAAAUUCUAUUCAUUCAUUUUGUAACGUUACAUACAUAAUACUAGCUGCCUUUCCUCGAGUACCUAAUAUGUGCCAAGUACAUUGUUAAAUUUGAAUAUUUUAUAAUAUAAUAUCUAAAAAUACUUAAAAUCCCUAUUUUAUGGGUGAAGCAGGUGAACAUGGAGAGGUAAAGAUUGUCUCAUAUCUUACUACCAAGAAAUGGUACAAUCAGGAUGUGAAGGCACAUGACAAAUUCUUAGCCUUCAGUCAUUGCACUGUGCUGUUUCCUAUUUCAGGUAUGUCAAAUACAAAGGAAGGAAUUCUUGUCAAAUUCUCUUAUAUGAAUAUUUUAUAAACCUUAUACAUAAAAGGACUAUCGUUGUUCCUUUGAAAUAUUCUACUGUUCCUCUGUGAAGGACUUCACAUUAUAUGUGUGUGUGAAUUGAAAGCAAAGAGGAAAAAAUCACCUUUCAAUCUACCAGAAAUAUGAUGGAACAAUGUGCGUGUGUAUGUGUGUCUCUUCCUCAAACAUACUGUGUUAUCUAUUUUAUUAUCCGUCUGUAAAAAUUAUUAAAAUAUGUGAUUCUAUUCAUCAUGAUAAAUUUAAGCAUAGGAGAAAAGUAAAGUCUUAUUUAAAGUAAUGGAACUUAUUCUGUACACAAUAGAAAAAUCUAUUUUAAAAAUCACUUGUGAAUCUACAGUAGAUGUGAUGAUAUAAUGUUAUAAGUU